UAGUAUAUGGAAUCUCCAUUCUAUAAACACCAUCUGCGUAUAUUAUACCUGUUGCUUCCAUGGGCCUUGGGCCUAGCGCCCGCAUCGGCCCAAAGGCUGGUGAGUGCCCAUGGAAGAAAAACAUAAACCCUCGUUUUUUAUGAAUCAAGUCUGAAAUUGUUUGUAAUAAACGUUA
rnacentral:misc_RNA from 1 species